rnacentral:rRNA from 1 species
UGCGAGUACGGGGCGGGAGGCGGCGUAGUGCGUAGGAGGCGGACGUUGUGCGGAUGUACUGGGCGUAAAUAGCGCGUAGGGGGUGUGGCGGGUUGUUCGUGAAAACUCACAACUCAAUUGUGGGCGUGCGGGCGAUACGGGCAGACUGGAGUACGGCAGGGGAGACUGGAAUUCCUGGUGUAGCGGUGGAAUGCGCAGAUAUCAGGAGGAACACCGGUGGCGAAGGCGGGUCUCUGGGCAGUAACUGACGCUGAGGAGCGAAAGCGUGGGGAGCGAACAGGAUUAGAUACCCCAGUAGUC